rnacentral:rRNA from 1 species
CUUCCGUAGGUGAACCUGCGGAAGGAUCAUUACGUAUGGUAGGCCGGUCUGACCGGUUCUAUUCAACCCUGUUUUUUGCGUACCCUUUGUUUCCUCGGCAGGCUUGCCUGCCCGUAGGACCUUUUUAACUCAUCAUGUCCAAAGCAAUCAGCGUCAAACAAACAAUACAAUGGUAACAACUUUCAACAACGGAUCUCUUGGUUCUGGCAUCGAUGAAGAACGCAGCGAAAUGCGAUAAGUAGUGUGAAUUGCAGAAUUCCGUGAAUCAUCGAAUCUUUGAACGCACAUUGCGCCUAUUGGUAUUCCAAUAGGCAUGCCUGUUCGAGCGUCAUUUAAGCCUUCAAGCAUUGCUUGGUGUUGGGUGUUGUCCGCGCGUGCGGACUCGCUUCAAAUGCAUUGGCAGUCAGCACUGGGGUUGUUGGAGCGCAGCACAUUUUGCGCUCUCAGCCACAGGUGCCGGCGUCCACAAAGCUUAUUUCAACGUUUGACCUCGGAUCAGGUAGGGAUACCCGCUGAACUUAAGCAUAUCAAUAAGCGGAGGAAA